rnacentral:lncRNA from 1 species
CCUUCUCUUUGGUCUCAAGGAGACCUCUGCAAUCUUGACCCUUUGGUUUCUUCCCAGUUCAUCAGCCCCUUUCUAGCUGCACCUACAUCCCUUACCCAUGGUCCAUCCACAGCUUGAACUACUUUUCCAUAGCACUCUCAGCUCCCUUUCUGUCCCACUUGCCCUACAACUCCCAGACUCUGAUUCAAUUCUACAAUUGUCUGCCUCCUCCACCCCUAGAACUGGGGGCUGAGCGCUGCCAUGGGCAGAGUACACAAUGUGGGCUGUUGGCACUGCAGUCCUUAUUUUUCGCUCUCAGCGCUGCUUAACAAUCCUUUUACUUGCUCUUGAUUUGCUCCCUCUCCCAUUCCCCCUAGUGUUAUUCCAAGCCUCUGCUACUCUCCUCUCCUUAUUCUCAAUGAAUGACCUCACUUCCUAAUUGCUGACAUGGAUAAAGCUAGCUAUCUAACACUUAUUAAGUACUUACUAUGUGCCAGGCAGUGUUCUAAGUACUUUAUGUGCAUUGACUGAUUUAAUCCUCCCAAUAACCCUACAAGGUAGGUACUGUUAUUAUUCCCAUUGUACAAAUGAGAAAAUUGAGGCACAGAGAGACUAAGAAAUCCUGAACAAUUGUUGUAUGGGUACUCUUAAGUAUAGUUUCUACUGAAUGUAUAUCAAUCUCAAAUCAUCAUAAAGUAAAAAAAUCAUUAAGUGGAACCUCAUAAGUCGGGGACUGUGUGAGUGUGUGUGUGUGUGUGUGUGUGUGUGUAUCCAACUGUUAACAGUGAAUAUUUCAGAGGGACUGGAUUAUGGGAGACUUUGAUUUCUAUGUUAUUUCUUAUUUCUCUGAUGUUUUACUUUUUACAAUGAACAUGUAUUACUUUUACAAUCAGGGGAAGAGGAACUGAAAAAAUUCAAUAUCCUUUUAAAUAUUUUGUACCACUUACAGGAUUGAAGUUGACACUUCUGGGCCAGGCAUUCGGAGCUCUUCAAGGCCAAGCCUCUGCUCCCUACCACUCCCAUGAAUUGUCUCUCUCAGUUACAUUCAGCCACAUUUUAUUCCUGGAAACACCCUUUUUCAGACUUCUGGGCUUUACGUGUCCUCUUCCCUCUGAAGGAGUUCCUGUUCCCUGCUUUGUGCAUCUUAGAAGAAGACUUUCAUCCUCUCCUGUAUGAAUCCACUCCUGAUUCUCUCCCAGGCAGGAAAAUGUUUUUAUUGCUCUGGGUUUCCUGAAUCGUCUGCUGCCUAGGCUCUCUACUAGGUGGAAGUGACUUGAGAGCACAGACUAUGUUCUUAUUGCCUAGCACAGGGCUGAGCAAAUGCUUAUCAACAGAAUGAACUCUGCCCUCUCUGAGUGUCCCUGCAGAUGGCUGCCUCUUUGCAGAGGCUGUCCUCACCUCUAGGAACCAGGAUCCAGCAUUGAGUCUCUUCAGUUCAGUCCAGGAGAAGUCACUGCUGUGGGCUGUGAUUCGGGUUGGGAAUACAGAGGCUACAUUCGUGGUCCUGCUGAGGUGCUCAUCAUGCAUGAGGAAGGGGACCCCAUCGGAGCUGAGGGCACAAGGGGUGUCAGAGGGCCAAGCUCUGGGGCUGGUCAUCAUGUCCUUCAGCCCCCCAGAUCCCCUAAGCCCCAGCUUCCCUCACCUGACCAUCACAUCAGUCUCAAACACAGUAGCUCCGCAUUCAGCUGUCUUCCGCAAGGACAUCAGGGUGUUCUCGGGAGCCAGCUGGGAAAGGG